GACCCGAUGGCGGAGGGCCGCAUCCGCAAUUCAUAGAGUAUGGAUCUAAAACUAUCAGCGGAACACCCCCGUUCGACUCGGGGUCGGGUCA